UACGUAGGGCGCAAGCGUUAUCCGGAAUUAUUGGGCGUAAAGCGCACGUAGGCGGCUUUGCAAGUCCCAUGUGAAAUCCCACGGCUCAACCGUGGAAGUGCAUGGGAAACUGCAGAGCUUGAGUACUUAAGAGGAUCGCGGAAUUCCCGGUGUAGAGGUGAAAUUCGUAGAUAUCGGGAGGAACACCAGUGGCGAAGGCGGCGAUCUGGGAAGAUACUGACGCUCAUGUGCGAAAAGCGUGGGGAGCAAACAGG
rnacentral:rRNA from 1 species